GAUGCUCACUCGGGUGGCGGGGUGAGGCUCAUUCUCGGAUAAAAAGCGACAUUAAAUGUUCCGCGGUCACGUUUGAUUGUCCUUAUCGGGAUUUGCUGGUGAAACGACGUCGGCAGCCCGGGGACCGCAGCGUCCCUGUCGCCUGGCCGCCACUAACCCCUCCAGUUCUGCACAUCCGCCGCUAUCGUUCGAUUGUUCGUUUCGUUCAUUCCUGCUGGUCACGUUUCAUGAACAGAUCGUGAUGGAACUGGCACGUCGAUUUCGUGACGAUGUCGUGACGAUAAAGGAGCUAUUUUUAUCUACCAGGGGCAAGAAAAACACGCAUCCUGCAAUAAUAACCAACACAAGCAACUUUUAUACGUCGUAACCCACACAGAUACAUGUACACGCCAAUUCCGUUUAUCUCAACGAAAACGCGGAGCGAUAAUCUGCCAGGCGGCGUUUUUUUUUACAGGAAUUCAGCAGGAUUUUUUUACCUGGACCCGUCGGCGCUCCGCGGCGUGUCUUCUCUCGCCGAGCGGAGAACCUGCGGACGGAGGAGGAGACGCGGCGAGGGGGUUAAAUCCGCCGGAAUCGCCUUCUUCCCUGAACCCGUCCCCGGUACAUGACAAGGCGAGGACGAGCGCGUUUAUCCAACCGGCGGUCGGCGCGCCGCGACGCGGCUUCAGACCAAAACCGGUUUCCGCCGCGGGUCCCCGGGCGUCUCGGCGCCGGGUCGCCUCGCUCUCCCGAUGCCCGCCUCCGUCUCUCGCCUUUCCGGGGACGAUGAGAGGGACCGGCAUGGACGCGCUGUGGAGGAUCUGCGCCGCCAUCAGCUUCGACUGCUUUAAAGGCUCGCCGUCGCACAGGUCUGCGGCGAAGCUGAGCUCCAGCCGCGCCGCCAGCGUGGAGAGCAGCUCCCUGACCGGCAGCAUCUCGCUGGCCUCGGACGCGCCGCACUGCCAGUGCUGCAUCUCGUACGACGCGCGGCUGAAGCGCCUCUCCUGCGGCCACCUGUACUGCGACCCGUGCUCCGACCAGAUCGUCAACAUGGCCUUCGAGGACAUCGAGGGGCUGUCCGAGUACCCCUGCCCCAUAUGCAAGUCCUUCCGGCAGCUGGAGGGCGCGACCCACUGCUCCCCAUUCGGAUCCCUGAGGCAACAGGUCGCGGACGAGAAGAUGGUGGCGCAGUAUUAA
ensembl:lncRNA